AUUGAACGCUGGCGGCAGGCCUAACACAUGCACGUCGAACGAGUGGCGGACGGGUGAGUAAUGUCUGGGAAACUGCCUGAUGGAGGGGGAUAACUACUGGAAACGGUAGCUAAUACCGCAUACCAUCAGAUGUGCCCAGAUGGUAUUAGCUUGUUGGUGGGGUAACGGCUCACCAGGGCGACGAUCCCUAGCUGGUCUGAGAGGAGGACCAGCAACACUGGAACUGAGACACGGGACAGAAUCCUACGGGAGGAAGCAGGGGGGAAUAUUGCACAAUGGGCGCAAGCCUGAUGCAGCCAUGCCGCGUGUAUGAAGAAGGCCUUCGGGUUGUAAAGUACUUUCAGCGGGGAGGCGUUACCCGCAGAAGAAGCACCGGCUAACUCCGUGCCAGCAGCCGCGGUAAUUC
rnacentral:rRNA from 1 species